AACCUAAUGUAAAAGUUGAACUCAGGGUGGAGGUUAGAGUACUGUAUCUCCAUUUAUUUCCAGUGUGGAUUUCAAGGUUUUUAGCAGAAAACCUGUCCUGUGAUUGGGAAAAGUUGAUUUUAUAUAUCUCAACUGAAAGCAUUAACACUUUGCUGCUUUGCCAUGGAGAGAGGGACACAAUAAAGCCAAAUUAAAAGUAUUGUAUGUGGGACUUAAUCAGGCUUCUGCAAGUUUAAGCUGAAAUAAAAUUGAAUCCAAUUUUGUGGUGCAUUAUUUAAAAGUACAGAAGUUGUUCUUUUUAACAUUGGUUUAAGGCCUUGUGAGAAGUUAGAAUUUUUAAUUCAUGUUCAUUAUGGGAUUAAAGGUUUUCAGUGGAAAAAUUAAUAUUAAAAAUUAGAGGAGUUGCAAAGUGUUUGUCAAGUGUGAGCUUUGUAUUUACUUAGUUUUGGGAAUAUUACCAAGGUUUCAUAUCUCGGCUAAAACCAAAACAUAAUACUUUCCAUGUUGAGGGAGAAUUUUUUCUGUUAUACUAUGAAAACAGCUUGGACAGGUAUGCUAUUACUGUAUGUAUCAUCAUUUGUUCCUUUGAGAUCAAACCAGCUUUGUGCUGACAGAGGCUCUUGCUCUAUGGCAGCUUGUAAAUAUACUGUACCUAUAUACUACUUUGGGCCUAAAUUAAGCUCAUUCAUUUUAGUAGGUCAUAGGAUAUUAGCAUAGGAAUCUGUUCAUUCAUCCUGUCUUUUAGAAAAACUGGUAGGAAAUGCAGGAGUAGGAACUUGGGAAAUUUAAGCUCAGUGUGUAGUGAUUGUAAUCUUGUAGUUUCAUGUACAGGAUUUGGCCAAGAGACUGUGAAGAUGGGUUUGACGUAACUUUUACAGUGAAGAUAGGUCUGUUUUUUCACCUAGUGAAAAUAACUGUCAUCAACAGAUUAUCUGUUGACUAGCGUUUCGUUCUUCCACAAAGAUAUAUCAGGCAUUUGAGUAGAAAUAUUGAUGAUUAAAUAUUGAGUGCUUAUUGCCUUGUUUUCAUUUUAUCUAUGAUUCUCUCUUUGCGACAUUGUUCUUUGUUAAUAAUUAUUUUAGUGACCAAGUCCACAGAAGAUGGAUGUAAGUUAGAAAUUUUUGCAAUUCCACACAAACAUAUCUUAACUUCGUACACCAGUAUAUCUCGGUGUAUCCUUUGACAGAUGUAUCUGUGUAUGAAAACUACACUUUGGUAGUGCUGCGAAUAAAAGUGUUGGACCCAACAUUUGUUUGAAGCUUGAGAGUGAAGAAUGUCUUCAUUCAUUUUCAUUUCUGGAUGAGAUGGUUUUCAGCAGAAAGGCUGUCCAAAAAUGUCUGGAAAUGAGGAAGUUGAAAUAUGGAUGAAGAAAUUAAGUGUCUUAGCCUUGAGCUAUUUUAUUUCAGAGGUAAUGAUUUUCAGGAAAUAGCUGUGGUACUUGUUGGCCCAGGUGUCAAGUUCUUUAUGUCGACGAUUUGUGUAGAUUAGACAAUUUUCAUUUAAUUAUUGUGUUCUUUUAUCCAUUUUUCUCUUAGUCUUUGAUUACAUGUCUGUAUUUCAUUGACAUAACAGUUUUUACGAUGAUUUCAGCAACCUUCGUCGUUUAGUACACAUGCUACUUUUGAGACCGGACGCUUCAUAUAUAACCAGGCACAUCAAGCAGCUUGGUAUUGUGGUUGGUGAACACAGCGCAUGGCUCAAGGUUGGACUAGGUGUUGCUGCGAUCGCAGCCUUCGCCCUUCUCCUUGCCCGGGCAUUCCGAUCGGUCGACAGAUAGUCACGACCUCGGUUAACCUAGGGGAUAACUAUUUUAAUAAUAAAAUCUUGAUACAGUGCUGACAUGAAAGUGAAAAUAAAUUGUAACUUUAGUAUUCGUCCUCUCCUGUUUCAUUUGAUUCCAUCUUUCAUUACUGUACAAUAUUGUUCUCUGAAGUAUUCAUUGACAUUGAUGCGCAUAAUCUCAAGCUGAUUCAACUGACUUUCUUUGAUUGUCCAUUAGUGUAAUGUAUAUAUUAUUAUUAUAUAAUUAGCAUUAUAUUUGUAACUGUAAAUAUUAGAAUGGGCCAAUCUUCCUCCUGAAAUAAAGUGUUAUUUUCACACUUGACAAACUCAAUGAUGAUGGAAUUUUCAUAAUGAAAAAUAAAAUUACAAUUUACAAAAGAA